GAGGAUGAAGAUGGAUGAUGUAUGUGAGUUGAAUGUCGUCCAUUGUCCACUCCACCUACUAGUCUCUAGACUCUAGUUAUAUGAACAGGAGGGAUGCCUGCCUUUCAACAAAAGAAAAGCGUCCAUUCCUAUUCUAUUCUAUGUAGGAUUAGCUACUACCCGUACUUCAUUUUUUGAGGUUGUACGGCUUCAUUGUAAAAUAUCCGAUACCAAGGCUUGAAUGAAUUACAUCCAAACUCUUUCCUCAACUUCACUUCUGGAUUU